rnacentral:lncRNA from 1 species
GAGUAACGUCAAAGGGCACGGCCGAGCAGAUGAGGACUGUGUGGACGACCGGGCGAGACACCGGGAGGAACGGCUGCUCGGGGCACGGCUGGACCGGGAUCAGGAGAAGCUGCUCAGGUGAGGGUGUCGGGGGAUCCUGAGGGUCUAGGGGGUAUCUGGGAGCCCCUGGGGGUGAGGGGCAGCUGGAUGACCCCAGGUGGGCUUGGCCCCUUGACCAUGGAUGCUAUGGUACUGAGAGCGGGAGUCGCCCUGGUCCUCAGCAUCGGGCCAGCCCUGCCCAGGCCAGGUGGCCCCACUGCCCCUACAGUGAGUGUGGAAGGCCCCGGGAGGCCCUUCAGUUCCGAGCGGUGGUUGUCCUGACUCAUGGCCUGGUGGCAAACAGUUCCUUGGGGCAACCCUGCUUCUCCCUCUCGUCCCCUGGGCUGUCCGAGCUGUCGCUGACACCUAUGAUCCUCCUUCCAGAGAGAGUAAGGAGCUGGCUGACCUGGCCCGCCUGCACCCUACCAGCUGUGCUCCUAACGGCCUGAACCCCAACCUCAUGGUGACGGGGGGCCCGGCGCUGGCGGGCUCAGGUCGCUGGUCUGCCGACCCCGCAGCCCAUCUGGCCACACACCCCUGGUUGCCCCGCUCGGGCAAUGCAUCCAUGUGGCUCGCUGGACACCCCUACGGCUUGGGUCCCCCAUCUCUGCACCAGGGCAUGGCCCCUGCAUUCCCA